CCUUCUUCAAUUACUAGAGAGAAUCAUACAAAUGAGUGAAAGAAAACUGGAUUCUUGUCUCUUCUUGAAGCAUCCUCACGAGGAUCACACAAUCUUUCUUUUUGCUGGGUUAAAUAGAAAGCUUGAAAACUCACUCUCCCCAAAAACUCAUCAGCUUUAACUUACCCUCUUACCCUCGACGAAGAACCUCUACCACCGGCGGGUGCUCUUUCCCCACCGUUACACCACCAUAACACAACCUUAACUCUUUUUUAUUUUACCCCCUGAAAUUACCAGCCCCCCCUCCUUCUAGUCAACCCACUACUGGAAGAAGGAAGGACGAGGAAGCAACAACGCCAUCACCCCCUGCUGCCAUCUUCGACCCUCUGUUGCGACUACCUCCCCUCACCAUAAGCCUCCAACUCCUUAUUCUUCUUAUUUAUUUAUUAUUGUGUAUGGUUCGACUUCUAACCAAGAAAUAAAGCUUCUCAUUGUAUAUUGCUGUGUGCGUUACUUUCCCAUGCACAGCUUGUCGAUCACAAUACAUCUUCAAAACUCUAACACACAAAUCUUUUCUUUUGUUUUUCAUUGUUUUCCUUCGUGUAUGAUUCCCUGUGUUGUUCGAUAAAAGCCCAGGUAAGAAAACCAUACCUUCUGUUUGCCCAUUCUGGGUACUAAAUAUAAACCCAUAUAAAUAUGAUAGAAACGAUUCACAGCAAGUUCUUGGUUUUGUUAGUCAAACCAAACUCCCAUCUCAAAUAAAUAGCUUAUACUCUUUUUUUUUAAAUUUAUUUUACAAAUUUAAUCUCUUCGUUUACUUCUGUUAGUAAAAUUUCAUGCAUUUUGCUCUGAAAUAAGAAGCUAUGUACUCUCUGUAUUGUAAACCCACGAAAGAAAAAUAAUUCACAGUAAACUCAAAAACCCACACCUCAAACUUUCUUUCCAUUUAAUUAAGACAAACCUUGGAGUUAUGUUAGUUUUCAACAUUAAAGUCCUUGUCCUCCCAUUUUACUUUUGUGGGCCAUACUUGCACCAUUACGUAAACAGAAAAGAAAAAGAGUCAAAACAUAACUUACAUUCCAGAAUAAUUAUUUCAGCCCUCAUUUGAAAUUUAUUACAAAAUUAGUCCCUUUUCCAAAACCAUAUUACAAUUUAUUUAAUAUGUACCAUCCCUUGGGAUUAAGUUAACAAAACAGUCCCUUAUUUAAUAUAUUUUUGCAAUACAGUCCCAACUUUGGAUCAUUGAUAGUUCGUGUUCUCGCGGUGUGUCCCGACUCAAAUCUUGCACUUAGCUUACUCGAAAUCACGCUACAAAAGUACCAGCGAGGAUCGCGGGAAGGCGCCGACAUGAUCCGUACACACUGAGAGGGUUUAUGUAUUUGAGAUCUUUUGAGAUUCUGGGAUUUGUUUAUUAUGAUGACAUUGGAUAAAUAUGUUGGAUAUUGUUUUUAGUGAUUAAAAAUAUGUUUUAAUAAUGAAAAAUUGUUUUGGAAA